CCUACGGGAGGCAGCAGUGGGGAAUAUUGCACAAUGGGGGAAACCCUGAUGCAGCGACGCCGCGUGAGUGAAGAAGUAUUUCGGUAUGUAAAGCUCUAUCAGCAGGGAAGAAAUAAAGUCCUUCGGACUUUGGACGGUACCUGACUAAGAAGCCCCGGCUAACUACGUGCAAGCAGCCGCGGUAAUACGUAGGGGGCAAGCGUUAUCCGGAUUUACUGGGUGUAAAGGGAGCGUAGACGGCAGCGCAAGUCUGGAGUGAAAUCCCAUGGCUUAACCAUGGAACUGCUUUGGAGACUGUGCAGCUGGAGUGCAGGAGAGGUAAGCGGAAGUCCUAGUGUAGCGGUGAAAUGCGUAGAUAUUAGGAGGAACACCAGUGGCGAAGGCAGCUUACUGGACUGUAACUGACGUUGAGGCUCGAAAGCGUGGGGAGCAAACAGGAUUAGAUACCCGUGUAGUC
rnacentral:rRNA from 1 species